GGCUUGUUUUAAGUUGCCUGCGA
rnacentral:miRNA from 1 species